rnacentral:rRNA from 1 species
AGGCAGCAGUGGGGAAUAUUGCGCAAUGGGCGAAAGCCUGACGCAGCGACGCCGCGUGGGGGAUGACGGCCUUCGGGUUGUAAACCUCUUUCAGCAGGGACGAAGCGAAAGUGACGGUACCUGCAGAAGAAGCACCGGCCAACUACGUGCCAGCAGCCGCGGUAAUACGUAGGGUGCAAGCGUUGUCCGGAAUUAUUGGGCGUAAAGAGCUCGUAGGCGGUUUGUUGCGUCGGCUGUGAAAACCUGAGGCUCAACCUCAGGCCUGCAGUCGAUACGAGCAGACUAGAGUGUUGCAGGGGAGACUGGAAUUCCUGGUGUAGCGGUGAAAUGCGCAGAUAUCAGGAGGAACGCCGGUGGCGAAGGCGGGUCUCUGGGCAACAACUGACGCUGAGGAGCGAAAGCGUGGGGAGCGAACAGGAUUAGAUACCCUGGUAGUCCACGCCGUAAACGUUGGGCGCUAGGUGUGGGGCUCAUUCCACGAGUUCCGUGCCGCAGCUAACGCAUUAAGCGCCCCGCCUGGGGAGUACGGCCGCAAGGCUAAAACUCAAAUGAAUUGACGG